rnacentral:rRNA from 1 species
ACGCACGCUGGCGGCGUGCUUAACACAUGCAAGUCGCACGGAAAGGCCCUGCUUUUGUGGGGUGCUCGAGUGGCGAACGGGUGAGUAACACGUGAGUAACCUGCCCUUGACUUUGGGAUAACUUCAGGAAACUGGGGCUAAUACCGGAUAGGAGCUCCUGCUGCAUGGUGGGGGUUGGAAAGUUUCGGCGGUUGGGGAUGGACUCGCGGCUUAUCAGCUUGUUGGUGGGGUAGUGGCUUACCAAGGCUUUGACGGGUAGCCGGCCUGAGAGGGUGACCGGCCACAUUGGUACUGAGAUACGGCCCAGACUCCUACGGGAGGCAGCAGUGGGGAAUAUUGCACAAUGGGCGGAAGCCUGAUGCAGCAACGCCGCGUGCGGGAUGACGGCCUUCGGGUUGUAAACCGCUUUCGCCUGUGACGAAGCGUGAGUGACGGUAAUGGGUAAAGAAGCACCGGCUAACUACGUG